rnacentral:rRNA from 1 species
AGAGUUUGAUCCUGGCUCAGGAUGAACGCUGGCGGCGUGCUUAACACAUGCAAGUCGAGCGAAGCAGUUAAGUUGAUUUCUUCGGAUUGAUUCUUAACUGACUGAGCGGCGGACGGGUGAGUAACGCGUGGGUGACCUGCCCCAUACCGGGGGAUAACAGCUGGAAACGGCUGCUAAUACCGCAUAAGCGCACAGAGCUGCAUGGCUCGGUGUGAAAAGCUCCGGUGGUAUGGGAUGGGCCCGCGUCUGAUUAGGCAGUUGGCGGGGUAACGGCCCACCAAACCGACGAUCAGUAGCCGGCCUGAGAGGGCGACCGGCCACAUUGGGACUGAGACACGGCCCAAACUCCUACGGGAGGCAGCAGUGGGGAAUAUUGCACAAUGGGGGAAACCCUGAUGCAGCGACGCCGCGUGAGCGAAGAAGUAUUUCGGUAUGUAAAGCUCUAUCAGCAGGGAAGAUAAUGACGGUACCUGACUAAGAAGCCCCGGCUAACUACGUGCCAGCAGCCGCGGUAAUACGUAGGGGGCAAGCGUUAUCCGGAUUUACUGGGUGUAAAGGGAGCGUAGACGGCAAGGCAAGUCUGAUGUGAAAACCCAGGGCUUAACCCUGGGACUGCAUUGGAAACUGUCUGGCUCGAGUGCCGGAGAGGUAAGCGGAAUUCCUAGUGUAGCGGUGAAAUGCGUAGAUAUUAGGAAGAACACCAGCGGCGAAGGCGGCCUACUGGGCACCAACUGACGCUGAGGCUCGAAAGUGUGGGUAGCAAACAGGAUUAGAUACCCUGGUAGUCCACACCGUAAACGAUGAUUACUAGGUGUUGGGAGAUUGACCCUCUCAGUGCCGCAGUUAACACAAUAAGUAAUCCACCUGGGGAGUACGACCGCAAGGUUGAAACUCAAAGGAAUUGACGGGGGCCCGCACAAGCAGUGGAGUAUGUGGUUUAAUUCGACGCAACGCGAAGAACCUUACCAAGUCUUGACAUCCCUUGACGAUGCUGGAAACAGUAUUUCUCUUCGGAGCAAGGAGACAGGUGGUGCAUGGUUGUCGUCAGCUCGUGUCGUGAGAUGUUGGGUUAAGUCCCGCAACGAGCGCAACCCUUAUGGUCAGUUACUACGCAAGAGGACUCUGGCCAGACUGCCGUUGACAAAACGGAGGAAGGUGGGGAUGACGUCAAAUCAUCAUGCCCUUUAUGACUUGGGCUACACACGUACUACAAUGGCGUUAAACAAAGAGAAGCAAGACCGCGAGGUGGAGCAAAACUCAGAAACAACGUCCCAGUUCGGACUGCAGGCUGCAACUCGCCUGCACGAAGUCGGAAUUGCUAGUAAUCGUGGAUCAGCAUGCCACGGUGAAUACGUUCCCGGGCCUUGGACACACCGCCCGUCACACCAUGAGAGCCGGGGGGACCCGAAGUCGGUAGUCUAACCGCAAGGAGGACGCCGCCGAAGGUAAAACUGGUGAUUGGGGUGAAGUCGUAACAAGGUA